rfam:Camelus ferus unplaced genomic scaffold scaffold471, whole genome shotgun sequence.
GAGGGUAUAGCUCAAGUGGUAGAGUACAUGCUUAGCAUACACAAGGUCCUGGGUUCAAUCCCCAGUACCUCCU